GACGAACGCUGGCGGCGUGCUUAACACAUGCAAGUCGAACGGAAAGGCCCUGCUUUUGUGGGGUUCUCGAGGGGCAAGCGGGUGUGUAACACGUGAGUACCCUGCCCUUGACUUUGGUAUAACUGCAGGACACUGGGGCUAAUACCGGAUAGGCGCUCCUGCUGCAUGUUGUGGGUUGGAAAGUUUCGGCGGGUGGGGAUGGACUCGCGGCUUAUCAGCUUGUUGGUGGGUUAGGGGCUUACCAAGGCUUGGACGGGUAGCCGGCCUGGGGGGGUGACCGGCAAAUUGGGGCCGGGGAUCGGGCCCAGCCCCCUCCGGGAGCAAGAAGUGGGGAAUAUUGCACAAGGGGCGGAAGCCGGAGGAAGCAACGCCGGGGGCGGGUGGCCGGCUUCGGGGUGGAAACCCGUUUUGGCAGGGGAGGAAGCGUGAGUGACGGUAACGGGUUAAGAAGCACCGGCUAACUACGUG
rnacentral:rRNA from 1 species